UUGGCCCUAAAUCUAGAUGUUCCCUCUACCAAAACAUCCGCCCGAGAACUACGAGCACAAACGCUUAAAACUCUAAGGACUUGGCGGUGCUCCAAACCCACCUAGAGGAGCCUGUUCUGUAAUCGAUAACCCACGAUGCACCCAACCCCUCCUUGCCCGAAGCAGCCUACAUACCGCCGUCCCCAGCUCACCUUCCCUGAGAGCCCGACAGUGAGCACAACAACACCCCGCUAGUAAGACAGGUCAAGGUAUAGCCCAUGGAGAGGAAGAAAUGGGCUACAUUUUCUAAAAUAGGAAACUUACGAAAAGGGGCUUGAAAUAGCCCCUAGAAGGAGGAUUUAGCAGUAAAGGGGGGUGAGAAUACCCCCUUAAACUUGGCCCUGGAGCACGUACAUACCGCCCGUCACCCUCUUCACAACUACUAAACACCCGUAAUUUAACCCAAACCAAAAGAAGUCAAAAGAUGAGGUAAGUCGUAACAAGGUAAGUGUACCGGAAGGUGCACUUAGCACCAAGGCGUAGCUAUAAUUCCA
rnacentral:rRNA from 1 species